CCCCUCUAUCCAUCUCUUUCGCCCUCUCACUCUCUUACUAUGUGGAUCUCUCUCCAUUUCUGUCUCCCUCUCUCCAUUUUUGUCUCCCUCUAUCCAUCUCUCUCUCUCUCUUUCUUCUUACUUGGGUCUCUUCUAUCCCUGUCUCCCUCACUCAUUUCUGACGAGAGACAAAGGCAAAAGGAUUAGAAAUAAUUAUAAUAC
rnacentral:misc_RNA from 1 species